CGCAAGGCGUGGUAGGUUCCUUUGCACAACACCGGAAAACAGAAUUUUUGCGUUUCUCAUAUCAGCGGCGCGUGACAUGGGAACAGAAGAGAGUUUUAAAUCAAAUGGAGCUUUGGUAUUCUUACCUAAACACUCCUACUGGUUUGAUUUUUGGCUGUUUGUAAUAUUUGACAUCGCGUUUUUCUUUUUCAUGUACCUCGUAGUGCCUUAAAUGGGAGAACUGGAAGAGGAACGGGGCUCUGAAGUACAGGUGCCUGGUGCUGCUCCAGAUCGGGGCAGCUGUGUGUCCGACCACCUGGACAGGCCCCCCCCCCCCCUCCCCCCUCCCUCCUCAUGUCUGACGACUACUCCUCCGACAACAAGCUUUUGGGGGUCCACUGCCUCCACCACCUCCUCCACUGUCAUGUUGUGAUUGGACAACAGUUUCUAUCCAAGGGCCAUUGGGCUUCUGAAUGGACGUUGAUAUGGACAUUGAUACAUUUGUCACUAGCCACUUUACAUUGAUACAUUCAGUCUUCUAGCAAUUCACAAAUUUCAAAAAUCGAUUAAAAACGACAACAAAAAUGUAAGCAUUAUAUUGAAUCGAAAUUUGAUUAAAAAUCGAAUUGUGACCCCAAGAAUCGAAUUGUGAGGUAGGCCUACCAAAAGAUUCCCACCUUUUAAUAUACGGUAAGCUGUAUGUUUAAUAUUGAACCGUGUUCCAGAAAUAAAUAAGUAUUCAAGAAAAGUCUACUUAUCGUCACUGUAUUAAGUGAAUUACUUCUUAGAAAUCCUUCAGCAAACUUUCACUUGUUUAGUAAGUAUGAUUAGAAGGCAGAGUAUUCUGUUCUGUUUUAUAACUUGGCAUUAGCAGAAACAAAACCUACGUUUUCCUUUGGCAUUUAGUAGUGUCAUAAGAGCAAAUACACUUCUCCACAUACUUACAUGCAGUGUGUGCAAUCUACAGUAGGUGGCACAAUAUCUUGGCUACAUCUCAGUACUAGUAGCAUUAAGCACAUUAUACAGGAAGCUCCGCCAAAGUUAUUUUCCUACACACUGCUCAAUCGAGGACGAAACUAUUUUUGAUUGCAGCUUUUGUUGUCAACAUGAUGGAAACAUGUGCCACAACAAAUAAACUGGAAAACACAGAUGUGUUUCUCCCAUUAUCAUCUUUGCGUCUACUGAUACCACCUCUACGGCUAGUCUCAGCAGCCAUGUGGCAAGUUGCGCAGAGGAGAGACGUGAUGGACUAUGAGAAGCUCGAUGAGUUUGUUACUCUAGUGACUGAAACCGUUCCAGACCUGUUGGACACAAAGCAAAGGGCCAAGCUUCUUCUGCGACUGCGGACAAGGAUGAUCCUAGACUUAUGUGCUGCCGAACAAACAUCUGACAUUCAUUUCAUUCAACCCCACUUGGACAGAAUACGUCCCCCAGGACACACAGGAAGUGGAGAUGCAGAGGUGGAUGCAGAAGAGGCCAUUUUCCUGGAGCUGGUCCAGACCCUGCUUAAAGACUCAGCAGAGAGAGAGCACUUUUACCAGGAGGUAUUUCCAACAGAAUAUGGAGUUAGCUAUGACAAAGACAUGCAGCUCCUUGUGUGGGAGUUUUUGUCCCGACUGGAGAGGCUUCUGCCUGUACCAGACCUCGGGCAGACUGUAUCCUGGCUCAGUUCAGCCCCAUCUGUCUUGGAUGAGUGCAUUCAAGCCCUCUCUCAAUCAGAGGAUCUCAAAACUCUUCUGCAGCACCAUAAAUGUUUGGAGGACUUGGGUACUCAAGGUCACACGGUUGAGAUGUCCUCUCAGGUAUUUGCCUGCUCUCAGUGUCCAUUCUUCCACAUGCAGGAGUCCCUCCUUCUUCAGCACAUUGAACGUAGUCACCCUGAGGAGUACAACAAACUCCAAAAGGCUGAAGACCAGCAAGAGCCAUCCAGGAAGAGGGUCCAGCGGACAGAAUUUCCCAAGCCUUUUCCCAUUCAUGCCAGACCAGAUGCCCAUAUGUGUUAUGAGUGUGGCAAGACGUUCACCCGUGCUUCUGACGUGACCAGACACCAGCGCAUUCACACCGGGGAACGACCAUACACCUGCCAGGAAUGUAACAAGGGUUUCAAGAACUCUUGGGAUCUCAGGAGACACCAACGUAUUCACACAGGAGAACGGCCGUUUUUGUGCCCUCAGUGUGGCAAGGGCUUCACUCAGAUGGGGCUACUGAAGCUCCACUUUGAGAGAACGGCGUGCUGCGAGACUUGCGAUCCCCCGUUAGAGUCGACGGAGGAAGAGGUGACGACGGACAGUAAAGGGAGUGGCGGAGGCCAAUACAAGUGCCAGAAAUGUGGGGAGUGCUUCGGGACCAUACUGGAGAGACUGAGGCACAGGCAAACCCACGUCGUGAAGCGCCAGUACAAGUGCUCCCAGUGCGACAAGAUCUACGGUCGGCCGUCGGACCUGAGGAGACACCAGAUGAAACACACAGGAGAGAGGCCUUUCCCCUGCGAGUGCGGCAAGAGCUUCACGCAUGUGUGGCUCCUGAACAAGCACAAACAGAUCCACACCAAGGAGCGUCCGUACCCGUGCACCGAGUGUGACAAGAGCUUCACUCAACUUCAGAUACUGAACAGACACAUGCUGAUCCACAACGGCCAGCGGCCCUUCCAGUGCUCCUACUGCGAGAAGAGCUUUACACAGUUGGCGGGCUUGACCAGACAUGAGAGGAUACACACAGGAGAGAGACCAUAUCUAUGCACUGUCUGUCAGAAGACUUUUCUCACGCACGGAGAGCUGGUGAGACACCAGCGCAGUCACAGCGACCAUAGACCGUACCCCUGCCCUCAGUGUCCAAAAAGCUUCAAAACCAAGCGAGCCCAGAGCGAACACCUGAACACUCACACGGGGGAGAGACCCUUUUCUUGUAAAUACUGCAGCAAGAGGUUCGCCAAGUCCACUUCGCUGAUCAGACACAAUCUGAUGCACACUGGAGAAAGACCACACCAGUGUUCUCAGUGCGGGAAGACAUUCCUAACUUCUGGAGAGUUGCUUCUCCACAGGCGUAUACACACGGGAGAGAGGCCAUAUCCUUGCUCCUACUGUGAAAGGCGCUUCAGGUGUUCUUCAGACCUGACCAUGCACUUGAGGGCGCACACAGGGGAGCGGCCAUACUCUUGUUUGUUCUGCAAAAAGUGCUUCUCUACGUCAACUCGGCUCAAGAGGCAUGUGCGCACUCACAUAGGGAAGAAUGUAUAAGUGGUUGACCACCAAUAUUGCUACUGGAAACAUUUUCUUAAGUAUUUAUUUUAAAAAGUUUUUGGAUUGCCAUCAUUUACAGAAUUUAAACCAGCCUUACAUUCUGAUUGUUUUAUUUUAAAAUGAAAAUCAUGCCUCCGACUCACAUUAAACAUUUCAUAGUGCUGAUCUAUUUGCAUUUAGUUGUGUUGUUCUGUAGUGGCGUUAUGUUAUUACGGGGGUUUUUUCGAAGCAGUUUUUGUAAGUACAACAAUAACGCAUAAUCAAUUGAUUGUCUUAGUAAGUCUAAUUGUGGAAGUCGCGCAUAAUGUGACGUUAGCGUGAACGGCACGUGUCGCGUGUCGCGUGCCGCGUGCAAUGUUUUGUAAAAAGAAAUAUUGAAUCUAAGCAACCAACAUGCCAAAGAGAGUAAGAAAGGUAGGAUUUAUUGUCAAACAUAUAUUAGCAAUUGGUUCAAAGUAAUAUUUCAGAACACAAAGCAAGAAAACAGUAUGUUAUCAGACUGACGUAAUGAAUGGAGUGGAAAUUAAGUGGCCUUGGUACAAUGGAUUGGUUUCGAUGGGUGUGUAACAUGGUGAUGUUUCCUGCUGACAGGCUAGGCCAGUCCAGUUUGAAGCCAUUGCCAUUGGAAAUGCAAGGUAUAUCUUUAUCGCCGUAAUAACCUAAGAUUCCGUGUCUAUAUCAGUUAACUAAGUUUACUUUGGUGUUGUUGCUCAAUCUGCAAUGGUUAUGUCAAAUUGUUGUUAGCGUUAGAUCAAGGCCUGACCAGUCACCCGGAUGUGAAAUAACUGUAUUGCCUUGCACAGCCAAAGCCCAGGUUCAGACAAAGGCCCAUGCCGGUCCCUCUGACAAUGGCAGCUUGCAAAGACAGCCUUUCAGCAAGCCCAGUAGCUAUGAAAUCAAUGAAAGCCCAUGAGGAAUCUGUGAACAAAGUUACAGAGCUAAAGAUGACUUUGCUGUGAUGGGUUCAAUAGAGGACUCUCAGACCCCAGACUUUGAUAUUGAUCUAUCAGCUGUGGAGUGGCUGAACCCUGAACGGUACUCUACCCUGCUAGUGGCAGAGCCCUCAUCAAGCACAAGCAAAGAUCUUGACCUGACCUUUGGGCCAUCUGCUAAAGUGUCCCAAUCCACUGAAGAUGAAAUGGAGGAUUCUUUAGGUCUUUUGAACAAAAUGAAUGAGACAAAGAAAGUCUUAGAGACACCUGUAGCUCAGUCCAGCAAGGAGUACAUGGUAUAUCACACCAAGGAUAUAUCUGAUGUAAACUCAAGUGAACGUCUACCAGAAGGUAAUGGCAAAGUUAACAAGUAUGGAAUCGCUGUGUACUUUGGGCCUUCCACUGAAGAUGUAACAAAGGACUCUUUAUUCCUUAUGAAGAACAUAAAUGAGACAAACAUUGUCUCGGAAGAGGAAAAAAAUACCAUUGUUGUAAUGGGUUGUAGAAAAGAACUUAGAUUGAAUAAAUUAUAUUGUUCUUCUAUACUUUUUGGUUCUUGUGAGGAUUCUCUGAACUCUGACUUUGACUUGUCAGCUGUGGAGUGGCUGGACCCUGAAUAGCACACUACCUUGGCACCUGAAAAGUCCUCGGAUGGCCUUAAACAAGAUCAUAUUUAGGCUGAAGGAUUUGACAUUAGGAAUACAACUAUU